UGUUUUAUCAACCACCCUAAAUUUGUCCACAACUGAUGUUUAUGACAUGGUUUUCUAUUUCACACAUUCUUAUUCUAUGUAUAUUGUGAUUAUAUUUUCAUUUCCUUAGUUGUGUUGCUGUUCAGUUGACUGUUAAGUUUACGGUUAUUUCCCCCGCAAAAAAAAAAAGGUUAUGGUCUUUUAUUCCAAAAGAGAAAAGCAUGUUUCUUUGUAGGAGACUAGCUGCUAUAUAGACUUGCAUAUUUUGUAAUGUUUCUUUUACAAACAUACGAUGUAAUAGAGUGUAGACAUGGGCUAGACGUCUAGCCAAACCUACCUAUAGCAUUUCUAAAACGAUAUAAUUAUAACGGUUACAUGUAAAUUACGUGUGUAGAUUUAUCCUUUUUUUCAUACGCCUUAGUAGAUUCUAAACAUAUGGUGUGAUGUAUAAAAGUUUAUGGUCAACGCUAGUUUAGUGUUUGGGUCAAAUUAUUAUUUGAAAGUAGGGGUUAAAGUUUGCCAAGAAAAAAGCAGAUUAUUAUUUGAGAUUGAUAGAGUACGACUAUAUCCCACUUGGUCUUGUUUCCAUCAAAAGUGUGUCCCCACUUUGUUGAAGAAUACACCUACCAUUUUGGUAGUGGGCCUAACUCAUCUCAGCGGUUUUGUUUGGGCCUCAUUGCCCUAAUACGCUAGUAAUCGUCUCAUUUCCCAUAUUUCCCUUAGUCUCACUCCCAAUCACUUCACGAUCCAAGGAAGGGAAUGCCAGCAGCCAUGGCGGCAGUGUCCCCUUCGGCCAUUCAUGCCACUUGAGAGGAUGGAGGAUCUGGUGACGUCACGCUAGAGACAUCGGCGCAAGCGAGGUUGCCACCAUCCUUGUCGCGACGACAAUGCCACAACGGAGGGUAGAACGGGAUGGUGGGUGACGGCAUUGCGGAAGGAGGUUUGACCCAGGGAAGCAAAAAUAAUGUGCAAUGUUUUAGUCCCGUACUCCUACUAAAUAAGGAUCUCGGUCGAGAGAAUCUAGAGUAUGGUGUGGUCUAGAAAAGGAGCAAGAGUGCACUCGAGCAUGUUUAGGGGGUGGUAUGUUCGGGGCGGAGGCCACAGGGGGGAGCUAUGCCCGGCUGGAUGACCAUAAAGGGCGAGGGAGAAUUCCUUCUUUUAAGUAUAAAAGUAUACUCCCUUUGUUCACUAUUAUGAGAUGUUUUGGAUAUUUUAAUAUGAACUACGUACAAAAAUGAGUGAACAAAACAUACUAAAACGUGUCUAUGUACACCUGAUUUAGAAAAAAGUUAGAACAUCUUAUAAUCGUUAAUGGAGGGAGUACUAGAGAAUAAAAUCCUUCCCUAGCUAAUGGUGGAUCAACAACACUGAGUCUGAAGAGAUAGAGGAAUUAUUUGAUCCUGCACACAUCCUUCCCUAGCUAAUGGUGGAUCAACAACAUUGAGUCUGAAGAGAUAGAGGAAUUAUUUGAUCCUGCACACUGGAGCAUACGAAGGAAGCAUCGACACCAAUAUGCAUGGUGAGCUAUGUUGCACAGGGUGGUGCACAAGAUAGCACCUGUGCUCUCUGACAACAGAGGAGUAGGUGAGUGACAACACCUGUACUCUACAACAGAGGAGUAGGUGUAGUGAUAGAAAAAACAAAUCCUUAAGCUACCAUCAUAUGCCUUUGUUGUCAAAAGAGCCAUAGUUUGCAACUCAGCCUUUGCACUAGAAGGGAAAAGCGCAAUCGGUUUCUUUGUCUUCUAGGCCAUGAGAAAACCAUCAAGAAAACACAGUACGUAGAAAGGGACGUGCGAACUUGAGCAUAGGAAGAAGAGAGACGGUGAGAGAUAUUUCCACGAAGAUAUCGUAGAACGGGGGGGGGGGGUGCUCAAGUUGAUAAAAGAUAUCGUAGAACAGGGGGGGGGGGUGACUCAAGUGGAUAAAAGUGAGAGCAGAGACAAAGUGACUUAGAAUGAGAACGUGAUAUGAACUGUCUGGACGAGUGACAUCUAAAUAGACAAGACUCCCAACAAUUUGAUGAUAGCGUGUCAAAUCAAACAAAGGUGGAUGUUGAGCUCCAUGGGAGUGUCAUGCCACUUGAGAGGAUGAAGGCUCUAGCAACAUCGUGCGAGAGGCAUCGGUGCUAGCGAGUUUGCCACCAUCCUAGCCAGGACGACAAUGCCGCAGAGCAUAUAGUGGAGGGUAGAGUAGGAAAGUGGAGUGACGACGCUGCAGGAGGAGGUGCACUCGAACGGGGGGCACUGCAUUGCAGUCUGUUUCUUCUUUCGGGCGAGCGCCAGACAGAUAGACUCACAACAAAAUGUCGAUAAAGCGCCAGAUCAGAUAGUAGGUCAACAUCAUUAGUAGGGAGGUGAACAUUGAGCUCCAUGGGAGUCUCAACAUGCGCUCAUCAGUAAGAGCAGCGCGAGUAAGAAGAUCCUAAAUUAUUAUUUUUCAGCCUGAAGGGGCCUCAAUCCCAAGAAAGUAGCAGAGAGGGCUAAGAUAAAACAUAAGAAACUGCAUACUAAGUCAUGCCUUAACAAAGGCAAUAUACUCACGGUCUGCGUCAGUGAUGAUCAUGUCAUCAACAUAUAGAAGAAGAGUCCUACCAAGAACAGAAAGGAGGACAAACAAUGUCGGAUCAUGAGCACUCGGUGAAAACCAGCAGUAGCCACCAUAGAGGCAAAACGCUCAAACCAGGUGUGAGGGGCUUGCUUAGAGCCAUAGUGAGAGUGAUGAAGACGAGAAAGCAUGUCGUAAGGAGCAGCUCACCAUUAAGAAAUGCAUUCUUAACAUCAAGCCUAGACACAGAUCAGUGGCGAACAGAGGCCACAAUAAGAAGUGUGCAAACAGGUGAGCAAGUCUCAUCAUAAUCAGGACCAUGCUCCUGCUGAAAGCCAUUACCCACAACACGAGCUUUGUAAUGCCCAAGAGAACCAUCAGAGUGAGUCCUAACCUUGUAGACCCACCAAGUGAUGGGACGAACACGAGGAGGAACACAUACAAUAUCCCACGUGCCGAUGCACUCAAGAGCAACAGUCUCUGCCAUCAGAAAGUGCCAUUUGGUAUGAACAACACCACAAUAAGAAGUUGGCUCAAGAACAACAUCGCCAUGCCAAAGCAGACGAGGACACAAGCCAUAAGUAGGCUGAGACGGGGAAGAUGGCACAUCGGUAGACGCAUCCACAACACGUAGACGUCAUGUAUAGAAAUUAGGAAAAGAUGGAAGAAUACGAGUUGGAAUCAUCGGGAUAAACUCAGGUGAUGGAGACAAGGAACCACCGGUGAUGAAGGUGUAGAAUCAUGUGAUAAGUGAGGUGAGGAAAUUAUAGGAGAUGAUGGCAUUGGUUCUACAAUAAUGAAUAAUCAGAGAAGCAGGAGCCGUACGAGGACUUGAUAAGGGCUCAAUAGGAGUGGUAGGAGUGUCGGGAAAAUUGUGGAAAGAGAUAUACUCCACUUAAAAGGCCGAAGAAGAUGGACUCAACAAAAGUCAUAUCCCGAGAAAUAGGCAUCCGACGACCAACAUGAUCCCAACAAUGAUAUCCCUUAUGCUCAUCGUUGUAUCUUAAGAAGACACACUCAACAGACUGACAAGUCAGUUUGGUGCGUUCAUGAGGGGCAAGAAGGACAUAGCAAACACAACCAAAUAAUUGAAGCGCCGAAUAAACGAUCAAAUAGACGCUCGAAAGGAGCGUCACUCUACAGAGCAGUGGAUUGCUAAAGGUUGAUGGGAUAGAUGGAAGUGGAGACAAACUCGACCCAAAAGUGCGACGGAAGAGAUGCGGUGACAAUAACGAACGAGUCGUCUCAAGAAGGUGAUGAUGCUUGCGCUCAGCCACGCCAUUUUGAGCAUGAGCACCAGGAUAAGAGAGCCAAAGUCUGCUCAAAAAGGAUUCCACCAGAGUCAUCAUAGAACACACGAAUAGGUGUAGAGAACUGAGUGUGAACCAUGGCAGCAAAAGGCUUAUAAGACCUCACUACAAGAAGAAAUAAAGUAUAUCCAGGUGUGUCGAGAGAAGUUACUACCGGAGGCAAAGGGAGAUGGACCCCUGAGAUCAUAUUGAACAAGGUCGGAAAGACGACGAGACACUGUCUCGCUAUGAGUAUAAGGUAGUUGGACCGUGGAUUAGAGACAUCAUCGGAGACGGAUUGAAGAAGACCACGUCGAACUAAGGAUGAGAGAUAACAAGUGAUCCAAGGGGAUGAUGCCAAUCCUGAAAUUAGCUGGUAGACAAGGCAACAGAGGCAGAGACUAGCGAUGGUGGCAACAGAGGGACUUGAUCCAGCAUCCCACGUGCCUAUGCACUCUUCGUACCCCACCGAUCCGGCUUGGCGUUCUUUUCCUGUUUGCGGGUUGUGGGUCACGCACUUGAUUAAGCACCCUAGGUUCUCCUACUGCGCCCUUGGCCUUGACUUUAGGUAGCGCCUGUCCUCGGCUCGUCCCGUGCAUAAACCAGGUACGCGUCGACUGUCCGAGCUCCUGCUCACCAUUGGUGGUGCUCGAGCGUGCGGUUAUGGUGUUGCACAUAAAGGGAACACGGGAUGUGGGAUUGAGACAGUACUCAUAGCAGCCCGCAGCAAGGCAAAGAAUGCCCAUCUAGACUGGCAGGGAGCAAAGGUGGGCACAGAGGUGGACGUUGGCUCGGAACCUCAACAGUGCGCUCAUUAGUAAGAGCAGCACGAGCAAGAAGAUUUUGGAUAUACUUCUCUUAGGAAAUAAGGAACAAUCUCAAGGAAGUAGAAAGAGGACCAAGAUUCAGCAGUGACCUUAUCACUAAGAGCAGCACGAGCAAGAAGAUCCUAAAUGUACCUCUCUUGGGAAAUAAAGAAGCCAUCAGAGGUAGAAGAAACCUUAGUUCCAAGCAGUGAAAGGGACCAAGAUCAGACAUUAAAUCUAUUCACUAAGACGAGCCUUCAAAAAGGCAGUGCACUCAAAGUUGUUGGUAGUGAUGAUCAUGUCAUCGACAUAUAGGAGCAAAGCUCGACCACAAGCUUAAAGAUGGAUAUAAAGUGCAGGAUGAUGAGCAUUUGGCAAAAACUAUUUGCAGUCAUCGCCGAGACAGAAAACCUCAAACCGUGCACGAGGGCUAAAGGCAUAGAGAGAGUGACAAAUACGACAGAUCACGCCAUCAGGGGAAAAUAUCUAUGUGGUGGCUACAUGUAGACCUUCUCAUGCAACUCACCAUUAAGAAAGACAUUCUUGACAUCAAGCUAAGAGACAGACUAGUGGCGAGCAAAUAUCACAACGAAAAGUGUGCGAAGAGUGGUCACGUGGGCCAUAUGAGAAAAUGUCUUGUCGUAGUCAUAGCCAUGUUCCUAUUGAAAGCCACAAGUCACAAGACGGGCUUUGUAAGGCAAGGGAACCAUCAGAGUCUAGAUCUUGUAGACCCACUUACAGCAUACAAGUGACGGGUUGAGCAUGAGGAGGAAGGGAAACAAGAUCCCACGUGUCGGUGCGUUCAAGAGCAGCAAUCUCCUCUGCCAUCGCAUCUCACACCGUUUGGGUGAACAUGGUAUCACAGUAAGUUGUAUUGAGAAGAGCAGCGCCAGAACACCCAUAGUGAUCAAUAGGUGGAAGCGGGCAAGCGCAGAAGCUAGGUUGAGCUGGAGGUAGUGCGUUUCCAACAGAAGGAGACAUAGUGGAGGGAGAUGGCUCAUCGAAAGAUAACGCAUCAGAAGAAUCCACUUGAUGUGGACGACUAGUGUAGUAAAGAAGAGGAUGCAGGAGAAUCACUGGGGAAGUCUUAGGGGACGAAUGAGGUGGGGAAGCCGCAAGUGAUGAUGACGUGGGGUCUACAAUAGUAGUGCAGGGAGACACAUUGGAAUGGAUGUAGGAGGGCAAAACAUGAGUGAUAGGUGUAUCGGAAAAUGUUAGGAAAGAAAUAUCCUCAAUGGGAGAGGCCGAAGGAGAGGAUGGACGUGGAUAGAAAGGACGAGACUCGUCAAAAGUCACACCUUGAGGAAUGGGCAUUCGCCGAUCGAUAGGAUCCCAACACAUGAAGCGCUCAGUAGCCAUGAGAACGACCAAACAGACACUCGAGAGGAAUGUCACCUUGGAAAGCAAGGAAGGCCGACUGUUGACGAGGUAGGUGGAAGUAGAAACAACCUCAACCCAAAAGUGAGGUGAAAGAGAGGUGUUGAUCUCCAGUGCACAAGCCGCCUCAAGAAGUUGACGAUGCUUAUGAUCAACAAACCAUUCUGAGCAUUUGGACCAUGACAUGAGAACCGAGAAAGUGUGCCCUGCUCAGCAAGGAAUCCGCACAACAAAUGAUAGAUGAACUCGCAAGCAAAAUCUUCAUGGAAGACACAAUUAGGAGCGGAAAACCCGGCAUGAAGCAUGGGGGCAAACUUCUUACUGAUAGAUAAGACCUUACUACAAGAAAAGCAUACAAUAUAUCCAUGUGUGUCGAGAGAAAACAUCUAUAAAGAUAAUAUAGUGGCGAUGGCCUCCUUUUGAGGCAAAGGGAGCUCGACCACAAACAUCAAAAUGAACAAGAUAGAAAGGACGAGACACAAUCUCGCUAUGAAGAUAAAGUAAUUAAACCUGUUUGCCAAGCCGACAAACCUGACAGUCUAAAGACACAUCGCUAGAGACAGAUCCAAGAAGACCACUUCGAACUAAGGAUGAGAAACAAGAAACACACACGUGACAAAGACGAUGAUGCCACAAAGGGACAGUAAACGAAGUAACCGAGGCGGAGAGACUGGCGACGGUGGCAGCAAAGGGAAGGUUAAACCAGUCAAGCUCCUAGAGGACCUGGGAGUUACAACGACGAUGGCCAACACUAAGUAAAGCAUCCAUCCGAGGAUCCUAAUAAGAACAAGAGUUAAACUAAAGAAUGACUGUACAACCAAAGUUGACAAUCUGACCACCUAAAAUGAGCUGCAUGGGCCAAGGAAUAUGAGCAAAAGAAUAAUAUGAAAAGACGAAGUAGUAAGAGUGCCUUGACUGUCGACUUGGAUGGAAGUUCCAUCAGCGGUAAGAACAUGAACAUUAGAAUCUGAAGGUCGAAUAGCUGACAAACUCGAAGAAUCAUAAACUAUUUGAAAAUACAUCCAGUACCAAGGAUUCAUAGAGGUGUACUUGGUUCUGUAAAAGUGGUCACUCGGUACUAGAAAAAUCAGUAGCAAAACCUAACUAGUAGACAUGGAAGUCGCCUAAUCUCCAGUGUAGUCAAUGUCUCAACUGAAGAGGUUGCUGAAGAAGUAUUGUGCGAUGAAACUAGAAGUAGCAAGUAGGUGCUUUGUUAAAGAUCAAACACCCAAAAGUAUUUCUCGUUCUUUUUUGUUUAGUUUAAUUUGGUUUUUGAUUGCUUUCUUUUGUGUUCCUUUUUUUUGCUUCCUAUUGUUUGUUUGUUGUUUGCUUUUAAAAGAAACCCUCCUUUCGUUCUUUUGGUGUUUUGAAGUUCUUUCAGAAAACAACAUAAAUAUUUCUUCGUUCUCUUUGCUUUUUCUUUGGAAGUUUAUUUGAUUGCCUCUUCGUUAAAACUUUGGAAAUCUUUUAUCUUUGCGUUCUUUUUUGCCUUUGAGGAAAACCAAAUAUUCUAAAUUAUUUCUGUUGUGUUUCUCUGAGUUCUUUGCAUUUUAUGUUUUAGAAAAUUCAAAAAUAUUUCACUUCUGUUGUUCUUUUGUUUUCUUUUGGUUGUUCUUUUUGUCUUUUCUUUGUUGUUUUCUUUUUGUUGUUUCUUUCGUCUUUGUGUUUAAAUUGCAAAACCCAAACUUUCCAAAAAGAUUUUUCGUGUUUGCAUCUUAUUGAGUCCCAAGUGUUUGUAGUGUUCUUUUUACUUCCUAUUGUUUCUUUUGUUUGUGUGUUGUUUGCUUUUGAAAGAAACCCAAAAACAUUUCUUUUAUCCUUUCGUUCUUUUGAAGUACUUUGAGAAAACAACAAGAUAUUUCUUCCUUUUUUUUUUUGCUUUUUCUUUGGAAGUUUAUUUGAUUUCGUCUUUGCUGAAACUUCAGAAAUCUUUCAUCUGUGCUUCUUUUUGCGUUCUUGUUUGCCUUCUUUGAGAAAAGAAAAAAAAUCCAAAAAUAUUUCUGAAGUGUUUCUUUGAGUUCUUUUUUGCCUUUUAUGUUUCAGAAAAUCCACAAAGAUUUCUCUUUUGUUGUUCUUCUGUUUUCCAUUGUUUUCUUUUGGUUGUUCUUUUUGGCUUUUCUAUGCCGUUUUCUUUUUGUCGUUUCUUUUGUCUUUGUGUUUAAGUUGCAAAACCCAAACAUUCCAAAAAGAUUUCUCGUUUGCGUCUUAUUGAGUCUUAAUUGUUUUCCUUUGGUUAUUCUUUGUGGCUUUUCUUUGUUGUUUUCUUUUUUUCAUUUCUUUCGUCUAUGUGUUUAAGUUGUAAAACCCAAACAUUCUAGAAAGGUUCUUGUUUGAGUCUUAUUGAUUCUUAAUUGUUUGAAAUGUUUUUUUUGCUUCCUAUUUUUUCUUUUGUUUGUUUGUUGUUUGCUUUUAAAAGAAACCCAAAAUGAUAUCUUUAUCUUAUUAUUCUUUUGAUGUUAUUUGAGGAAAUCACAUAAUAUUUUCUCGUUUUUGCUUUUUCUUUGGAUGUUUAUUUGAUUGCCUCUUUGUUGAAACUUUGAAAAUCUUUUAUCUCUACUUCUCUUUGCCUUCUUUGAGAAAAAACAAAAAUUCCAAAUCAUUUCUGUGUGUUUCUCCUAGUUCUUCUUUGCCUUCUAUUUUUUAGAAAAUCCAAAAAUAUUUCUCUUUCGUUUAUCUUUUGUUUUUUCUUUGUUUUCUUUUGAUUGUUCUUCUUGGCAUUUUUUUGGUGUUUUCUUUUUGCUGUUGAAUUCGUCUUUGUGUUUAAGUUGCCGACGUUCAAAAAAACUUACAAAACCCAAAAAUUCCACAAAGAUUUCUCGUUUGAGUCUUGUGUUUGUAGUGUUUUUUUUGCUUCCUAUUGUUUCUUUUGUUUUUGUUCUUUGCUUUUAAAAGAAACCCAAAAAGAUUUCUUUGUCCUUUUGUAGUUUUGUUCUUUUGAAGUUCUUUGAGAAAAUAAUAAUAUAUUUCUUUGUUCUUUUUACUUUUUCUUUGGAUGUUUAUUUGAUUUCCUCUUUGUUGAAACUUUGGAAACCUUUUAUCUUUGCUUGUCUUUGCAUUCUUGUUUUCCUUAUUUGAGAAAAAACAAAAAUUCCAAAAUUAUUUCUGCUGUGUUUCUCUGAGUUCUUUGCCUUUUAUGUUUCCGAAAAUUCAAAAAUAUUUCUCUUUCGUUGUUCUUUUGUUUUCCUUUGUUGUUUUGGCUUUUUCUGUUGUUUUCUUUUUGCCGUUUCUUUCGUCUUUGCAUUUAUUUAAGUUGCAAAAGUUAAAAAAUUCCAAAAAGAUUUCUCGUCUUAAGUGUUGAACUGAAUGAAUUUCUGAUUGGCUCUUAUGUGCUUUAUUGUUGAACUAAUGAAAAGACCAAAAAUAUUUCCCUUGUCUUCUCUUUUGUACAAAUUGUCCAGUAGUAAAACCUGCAAAUCCUAUCGAUGGAGAACCAAAAGAAGCAGCUAGCAGAUACGGAAGUUGCGUAAUCUCGAGUGUAGUGAGGGGCUCAACUGAAGAGGUUGACGAAGAAGCACAAGGCUAUGAAUAAAAACUAAAAGAAGUAGGUGUCGAAGUCGUGUAAUCUCUGUUCCUCCUCGAUCCGGUUUGGCGUCCUUCCCUUGGUUGCAGGUUUUGUGCCACGGACUUGAUGUUGCAUCCCAUGUUCCUUUUGGUGACCCUUGGCCCCGGUGGCAGGUAGCGUUGUGCACAUAUCCUGUGGGUUAAUGUUGAGGAAAUCGUUAACUGGUAACUGUUCUCUCAACUUGGGAGUAGUGAUUAAUCGUUGAAUUGGUUUAUUAACUGGAUUAAUCGGUCAACCACUAAUUGGUGGAAUUUUCAACUCAACAGAAGCAAAUUUAUUUUGUAUGGAGGGAAAAUCUACAUUGCAAAUAGGAGGCAAAUGGCACAAUUUCUUUUCUCAAUAGAUCACAAACAUGUAUACAACAACAAUCAUCCAUGUGGGCAUCAAAAGUCAUCAACAAACAUGUAUACAACAACAUUUUUUGCUAAUUUCUGCCUGUGUUGCAACUCUGAGAGAUGGUGGCCACACGAUGACGACAGAUAGAGGGAAGGUGACGGCCUCCGCGCUGGGCAUCUGAACGGGUCGGUUGCCGGAGGUGGUAGGUCAUGAAGGAGGGGAAGUAGCGGCGUGUAGAGGGAGAAGAGGAAGCGGCGACACACAGGGGAGGAGGGGGAGUGGCAGCACGCCGACGAGGAUCUGGUCAGUCGCCAUCUAGGUCGGGAGGGGAUGAGAGGAGCAGGAGGGGUUCUAAACCCUAGCUAUUUAGGAGCGGGAGGGUUUAUGGGCCAAAUAAUUAGGAUUUGUUUGCUCACAAGUCAACAGGCCAGCAGCGAUUAAUCAGCUUGACAACAGAUUAGUCGGUCUAAUCGACCAUUUAAUCAGCCUGGCAAGUUAACGCGAUGAAUAUGUGUUAUUCGAGUCGGCCACCCGAUGAGUAGCGAUUUACUGGCCAAUUAACUGAUUAAUCAGGUGAAUUCUUGAACAAUUGGUUAGACAUUGCGGUGCCGACUGCCCCUGCUCUUGCUUCGCCGAUAGGUGGUGCUUGAGCAUUCGGCUAUGGCGCCCACCAGGGGAACACGGGUUGUGGGAUUGAGACAGCGACAAAGCAACCUGUAGCCAGACAAAGGAUGCUCAACCGGACUAACAGGGAGCGGAGCGUGCACGAGGGGUGUGGUGGAGGGGUGAAAAAGCCGUCGGGAGCGGACCGCCGCCGCCAUUUAGCUUUUGGACCUGGAGUUGAGCGGAUAGGGGAAGUGAGGAAGGCCGGAAGAGGGCACCGAGAGGAGAAAGGCAUCAUCCACCCUACGCUUGUGCGUUAGCCGCGACAGCGGGCGGUUGUGGGCAGAUCCGGUGUCUGCACGUGGAUCUACUACUCAGGAUGACAUGACAUGCUUGUUGAGUGAGGUGUCACAACUAUUGGGCCGUGUGGGUGGGUUUGGAGAGUCUGUGUUGUGCUCCGGUUAAGCCUUCAUGAAGAAACGGACCAAGUGUAAAUCAAAAGGCACAUAUUGUUCAAAAGAGAGAAAAGGAUCCGAAUCCGACCCGAGGACGAGCUCAAACCUUAGGGUUUGAAAAGAAGAAGUAAAGCGCUCGUUUAUUUCAAUCAAAAAAGGUAGGUCAUAACACAGAUUGAAUUAGACCAUACUCAAUCACUCAUUGCUGGAAAAAGUAGAGCGAUUUCCUAGCAAAAAUAAGCACGAGCGAGAUAUUCUUCCUUAACAGGGAUCUCAAUUGCGGGAAGAAGUACAAAGGGCAAAGGCAGAAGUGGAAGGGUCAAACUCCUCUAUUGAGGAAAGACGGAGCCUCAUCAUUGGAAAGACUGACAACUUAACGGUCUGAAAAACUAUUCAAAGAGUGACUUUUAAGCCCCACUGGUUCGCUUUAUUUUCAAUGGACAUUUCCUCCCUCGUCAACAGCUUCAUUACCUGCUAAGUUUGGAAGGGUAGUAAAAUCACUCACAUGGGAGUGUCAAUAGUGACCUUAUCACUAAGAGCAUCACAAGUAAGAAGAUACUAAAUGUACUUCUCUUUGGGAAAUAAAGAAGCCAUUAGAGGCAGAAGAAACCUCAAUUCCAAGGAAGUAGCGAAGAGGACCAAUAUCAAACAUAAAAACUAUUCACUAAGACAAGCCUUCAAAAAGGCAAAUGCACUUAGAGUUGUUGGCAGUGAUGGUCAUGUCAUCUACAUAUAGAAGCAAUGUUCGACCUUGGGCUGAAAGAUGGAUAUACAGUGUACAUGAGCAUUUGGCAAAAAUUAGUCGCAUUCAUUGCUGAAACAGAACACUCAAAUCGGACGAUACGGGCUAAAGGCAUAGAGAUAACGACGAAGACGCCAGAUCGUGCCAUCAGGAAAAAGAUAUCUAGGUGGUGGCUACAUGUAGACCUUCUCAUGCAACUCAUGAUUAAGAAAGACAUUCUUGACAUCAAGCUGAGAGACACAUCAGUGGCGAACAAAUAUCACAGCGAGAAGUGUGGGAAGAGUGGUCAUGUGGGCCAUAUGAGCAAAUGUUUCAUCUUAGUCAUAGCCAGGAUCCUGUUGAAAGCCACGGGUCACAAGACGAGCUUUCUUACGCAAGAGAAUCAUCAGAGUCUAAAUCUUGUAGACCCACUUACAAGAUACAAGUGACGGGAUGAGCAUAGGGAGGAAGGGAAAUGAGAUCCCACGUGCCGGUGCGUUCAAGAGCAACAAUCUCCUCUGCCAUCGCAUGUCGCCGUUCGGGAUGAGCAUGGUGUCACGGUAUGUCGUAUUGAGAAGAGCAACACUAGAAUACCCAUAGCGAUCAAUAUGCGAAAGCGGGCGAGCGCAGAAGCCAUAAGUAGGUUGAGCUAGAGGCGGUCCAUUGCCAACAGAAGGAGAUAUAAUAGUCGAGGGAGAUGGCUCAUCGAAAGAUGACACAUUAGAAGAAUCUGCAAGAUGCGGACGACUAGUGCAGUAAAGAAGAGGAUUGGGGGGAAUCAUCGGGGAAGUCUUAGGGAAUGAACGAGGUGGGGAAGCCACAGGUGACGAUGACGUGGGGUCUAUGACAGUAGUACAAGAAGACACAUUGGAAUGGAAGAGGGCAAUAAGUGAGCGAUAGGACGCAUCAACACCAUUAUGGUUGGUGAGUUCAUGCUUUUCAAGGUCGUGCCGCAAUAUUGAUAGCAUUUGUACUGUCUGACAAGGGAGGAGUAGGUCUAGUGACAAAAACAUCAAAAUCCUUAAGCAACCAUCGUAACCAAGUCACCUCUGUUGUUAACAGAGGUAUAACUUGCAACUCAGCCUUUGCACUCAAAUUGAAAAGCGCAGUCUGUUUCUUUGUCUUUUGGGCAAUGAGAAAACCAUCAAGGAAACAUAGUAAGUACAAAGGGACGAGCGAACUUGUGCAUAGGAAUAAGAGAGAGACGGUGAGAGGUAGUUCUACAAAGAUAUUGUAGAACCGCGGGGAGGGGGGGGUGUGACUCAAAGUGGAUUAAAGUGGGAGCAGAGGCAAACUGACUUAGAAUGAGAAUGUGAUAUGAAAUGUCUGGACGAGUGACAUCUAAAUACAAGACUCCCAACAAGAUGACGGUAUUGCGUCAGAUCAAACAAAGGCUCAUUGUCAGAAGCACAAAGAUGGACGUUGAGCUCCAUGGCAGUGUCAAUAGUGGCUACCACUAAGAGCAGCACGAGCAAGAAGAUACUGAAUGAAUUCUCUUAGGAAAUAAAGAAGCCAGCAGAGGUAGAAUAAACCUCAUUUCGAAGGAAGUAACAACGAGGACCAAUAUUAGACAUAAAAACUAUUCACUAAGACGAACCUUCAAAAAAGGCAAUGCACUCAGAGUUGUUGGCAGUGAUGAUCAUGUCAUCAACAUAUAGAAGCUAAGUUUGACCCUGAGCUGAAAGAUGCUAUAAAGUGCAGAUCAUAAGCAUUUGGCAAAAACUAGUUGCAGUCAUCGUUGAGACAAACACUCAAACCGGACACGGGAGGCUAAAGGCAUAGAGAGAGCGACAAAGACGGCAGAUCGUGCCAUCAGGAAAAAAUAUCUAGGUGGUGGCUACAUGUAUACCUUCUCAUGCAACUCACCAUUAAGAAAGACAUUCUUGACAUCAAGCUGAGAGACAGACUAGUGGCGAACAAAUAUCACAGGAGAAGUGCGCGAAGAGUGGUCAUGUGAGCCAUAUGAGCAAAUGUCUCAUCGUAGUCAUAGCCAUCUUCAUGUUGAAAGCCACGGGUCACAAGACGAGCUUUCUAACGCAAGAGAACCAUUAGAGUCUAAAUCUUGUAGAUCUACUUACAAUAUACAAGUGAUGGGAUGAGCAUGGGAGGAAGGAAAAUGAGAUCCCACGUGUCGGUGCGUUCAAUAGUUCAAUAGCAGCAAUCUCCUUUGCCAUCACAUGUCGAUGUUCGGGAUGAACAUGGCGUCACGGUAAGUCGUAUUGAGAAGAGCAACGCUAGAAUACCCAUAGCAAUCAAUAAGCGGAAGCGGGCGAGUGUAGAAGCCAUAAGUAGGUUGAGCUGGAGGAGGUGCGUUGUCAAUAGAAGGAGACAUAGUAGUCGAGGGAGAUAGCUCAUCGAAAGAUGACGCAUCAGAAGGAUUCACAAGAUGUGGACGACUAGUUUAGUAAAGAAGAGGAUGAGGAUGAAUCACCUGGGAAGCCUUAGGGGAUGAACCAGAGUCAUCAUAGAACACGCAAAUAGGUGUAGAGAACUGAAUGUGAACCAUGGCAGCAAAAGGCUUAUAAGACCUCACUACAAGAAGAAAUAAAUUAUAUCCAUGUGUGUAGAGAGAAGUUACUACCGGAGGCAAAGGGAGAUGGACCCCUGAGAUCAUAUUGAACAAGGUCGGAAGGACGAGAUCAUAUUGAACAAGGUCGGAAGGACGACGAGACACUGUCUCGCUAUGAGUAUGAGGUAAUUGGACCGUGGAUUAGAGACAUCAUCUGAGAGGGAUUGAAGAAGACCACGUCGAACUAAGGAUGAGAGAUAACAAGUGAUCCAAGGGGAUGAUGCCAAUCCUGAAAAUAACUGGUAGACAAGGCAACAGAGGCAGAGACUGGUGAUGGUGGCAACAGAGGGACUUGAUCCAGCAUCUCACGUGCCUAUGCACUCUUCGUACCCCACCGAUCGGCUUGGCAUUCUUUUCCUAUUUGCGGGUUGUGGGUCACGCACUUGAUUAAGCACCCCAGGUUCUCCUACUGCGCCCUUGGCCUCGACUUUAGGUAGCGCCUGUCCUCGGCUCGUCCCGUGCAUAAACCAGGUAUGCGUCGACUGUCCGAGCUCCUGCUCACCAUUGGUGGUGCACGAGCGUGCGGUUAUGGUGUCGCACAUAAAGGGAACACGGGAUGUGGGAUUGAGACAGUACUCAUAGCAGCCUGCAGCAAGGCAAAGAAUGCCCAUCCAGACUGGCAGGGAGCAAAGGUGGGCACAAAGGUGGACGUUGACUCGGAGUCUCAACAGUGCGCUCAUCAGUGAGCAGCACGAGCAAGAAGAUUUUGGAUAUACUUCUCUUAGGAAAUAAGGAACAAUCUCAAGGAAGUAGCGAAGAGGACCAAGAUUCAGCAGUGACCUUAUUACUAAGAGCAGCACGAGCAAGAAGAUCCUAAAUGUACUUCUCUUGGGAAAUAAAGAAGCCAUCAGAGGUAGAAGAAACUUUAGUUCGAAGUAGUGAAAGGGACCAAGAUCAGACAUUAAAUCUAUUCACUAAGAUGAGCCUUCAAAAAGUGCGCCCUACUCAGCAAGGAAUCCGCGCAAUAAAUGAUUGAUAAACUCGCAAGCAAAAUCUGCAUGGAAGACGCAUAUAGGAAUGGAAAAUUGGGUACGAAGCAUGGCGGCAAACUUCUUACUGGUAGAUAAGACCUCACUAGAAGAAAAGCAUAAAAUAUAUCCAUUUGUGUCGAGAGAAUUAUCUAUAAAGAUAAUAUAGCAGCGAUGUCCUCCUUUUGAGGCAAAGGGACCUGGACCCCAAACAUUGAAGUGAACAAGAUCAAAAGGACGAUGAGACACAAUCUCGCUAUGAGGAUAUUGUAACUUAACUUGUUUGCUAAGCCGACAAACUGACAGCCUAAAGACACACCGCCAGAGAUAGAUCCGAGAAGACCACGUCGAACUAAGGAUGAGAGACUAGAGUCACACAAGUGACCAAGACGGUGAUUCCAAAAGAACCGGUAAACAAAGUAACCGAGGCAGAGAGACUGGCGGCGGUGGCAGCAAAGGGAAGGUUAAGCUAGAUAAGCACCCAGAGGACCUGGGAAUUACAACGUCGAGGGCCAACACCAAGUAGAGAAUCCGUGUGAGGAUUCUAAUCAGAACAUGAACAUGAGAAUCUGGAGGUCGAAUGGCUGACAAAUUGAAAGAAUCGUAAGUUAUAUGAAAAUACAUGGAGAUGUACCUGGUUGUGUAAAAAGUGGUCGCUCGGUACAAGAAAAAUUAGUAGCAAAACCUGUUGAUGUUGAACCAAAAGAAGCCGCUACUAGAUAGUAAAGUCGCCUAACCUUCGGUGUAGUCAGGGUCUCAACUGAAGAGGUUGACAUAGAAGUACCGGGCAAUGAAACUAGAAGUAGGAAGUAGGUGUUUUGUUAAAGAUCGAAAACCCAAAUGUAUUUCUCGUUCUUCUUGCUUGGCUUCAUUUGGUUUUUGAUCUCUUUCUUUUGUGUUCUUUAUGAUUCUUUUCCUUCUUAUUGUUUCUUUUGUUUAUUUGCUUGCUUUUACAAGAAACCACAAAACAUUUCUUUCUCCCUUUUUUCUUUUGAAGUUCUUUGAGAAAACAACACAAAUAUUUCUUCGUUCUUUUUGCUUUUUCUUUGAAAGUUUAUCUGAUUGCCUCUUUGUUGAAACUUUGGAAAUCUUGUAUCUUUGCGUUAUUGUUUGCCUUCGAGAAAACCAAAAAAUCCAAAAAUACUUCGGUGGUGUUUCUCUCAGUUCUUUGCCUUUUAUAUUUUCAAAAAAUCCAAAAAUAUUUCUCUUUCACUUUUCUUUUGUUUUCCUUCGUUUGCUUUUGAUUGUUCUUAUUGGCUUUUCUCGCUGUUUCUUUUUGUUGUUCCUUUCGUCUUUGUGCUUAAGUUGCAAAACCCAAAAAUUCCAAAAAGAUUUCUUGUUUGCAUCUUAUUGAGUCUCGAGUGUUCAAAGUGUUCUUUUUGUUCUAUUUCUUCCUAUUUUUUCUUUUGUAUGUUUUUUUGUUGUUUUCUAGAAACCCCAAAAGAUUUCAUUGUGCUUUUGUUCUUUUGAUGUUCUUUGAGAAAACAACAAAGAUAUUUCCUCGUUCGUUUUGCUUUUUCUUUGGAAGUGUAUUUUAUUGCCUCUUUGUUUAAACUUUGAAAAUAUUUUAUCUUUGCUUGUCUUUACAUUCUUGUUUGCCUUCUUCGAGAAAAAAAAUCCAAAAAUAUUAUUGUUGUGUUUCUUUAAGUUCUUUGCCUUUUAUCUUUUCGAAAAUCCAAAAACAUUUCUCUUUCGUUGUUCGUUUAUUUUCCUUGUUUUCUUUUGGUUGUUCUUUUUGUCUUUUCUUUGCUGUUUUCUUUUCAUCGUUUCUUUUCUCUUUGUGUUUAAGUUGCAAAACCCAAAAAUUCCAAAAAGAUUUCUCUUUUGCUCUUAUUGAGUGUUAACUAUUUGAGGUGUUCUUUUGUUUUUUUUCUAUUUUUCUUUUGGAUGUUUGUUGUUUGCUUUUAAUAGUAACCCCAAAAGAUUUCUUUGUCCUUUUGUUCUUUCGAAGUUCUUUGAGAAAACAAAAAAUAUAUUUUCUCGUUCGUUUUGCUUUUUCUUUGAAAGUUUAUUUGAUUGCCUCUUUGUUGAAACUUUGAAAAUAUUUUAUCUUUGCUUCUCUUUACGCUCUUGUUUACAUUCUUUGAGAAAACAAAAGUUCCAAAAUAUUUCUGUUGUGUUUCUUUAAGUUAUUUUUGGCCUUUUAUGUUUCCAAAAUUCCAAAAAAUAUUUCUCUUUCGGUGUUCUUUUGUUUUCUUUUGGUUGUUCUUUUUGGCUUUUCUUUGCUGUUUUCUUUUUGUCGUUUAUUUCGUCUCUGUGUUUAAGUUGCAAAACCCAAAAACUCCAAAAGAUUUCUCGUUUGCGUCUUAUUGAGUGUCAAUUGUUUGAAGUGUUCUUUUUGGUUUAUUUUUCUUCCUAUUUUUCUUUUAUUUGUUGUUUGCUUUUCAAAUAAACCGUAAAAUAUUUCUUUAUCCUUUUGUUCUUUUGAAGUUCUUUGAGAAAACAACAAAAAUAUUUCGUCGUUCGUUUUGCUUUUUCUUUGGAAGUUUAUUUCAUUGCCUAUUUGUUGAAACUUUGAAAAUAUUUUAUCUUUGCUUCGCUUCACGUUCUUGUUUGCCUUUGAGAAAAAACCAUUCCAAAAAAUAUUUCUAUUGUGAGCGGAAUUUUGUUUGACCCUAGGUCUCUUAGGGUGUUUAUGUGGGCUCGCAGCUCGUCGUUGCUGAGCUCUCGCGUCGUUGCUUGAGUAAGGCCCCAUGUAAAGAUACAUGGGGUGAGCCCGAGUGGCUUGAGUCGCCGCUCGAGUCACGUCUUGAAGACUUGCUCCCCGGUCAGCCCGUGGUCGAUCAGGCUCUCCACCGCGUCGAUCAGCCCCCGGGCAUUGCUGGAUGUCUUCUUCAUCGGCUUCCAAGAUCUCUCAGCCGCUUGGGUGGCUCAUUGAUGAAGGGCGGCAGAUCUCCCGUGAUCCUCGAAGCAUAGAACCAACCCUUAUGCCAGUUGCAGACUGACUUCGCCAAAGCAAUCUUGAAGUAGUCCGAUUCAAGCCGGAGCUGGAGGUUGGCACCUUCAAGGUCGCGGAUAUCAUCGCCAUUCUUCUGGACCUUCACCAGGAAGUAGUAUCAAAACAACUCGAAGUUCGGGUUCGUCCCAAGGAAGCAUUCGCAAAGGGUGAUGAAGUUGGCGAUGUGGAGAAUGGCGUUGGGUGUCAAAUGAUGCAACUGACACCCGUAGGAGAACAAAAGCCCGCACACAAAGCUGUCUAGCGGGAAAGCCAAACCUCGACAAAAGAACUGCUCGCUUGUGCCAGCUGGUGCCAGGAUGGCCACGGCCCCCGCCGUCCUCCAUUGAAGUACCUCCCAAGGCAGCAGAAAGUCGUCUUGAACUAACGCAGUGGAGAACCACUUGCCUGUGGUCUCGCCCGCCUCCUUGUUGGCGGAAGCGUUGUCCUUCUGCUCGUCAGCGGUGGUGGCCCUGGGAACGAUCCGGCCACGACCUCGACCGCGGUCUCCCUCGCCUCGCACCAUUAGCGGCUCGCUUGGGUGGAGAAGGAAAGAAAGGGAGGGCUCGAGGAGCAAGAGCUUGCGACAAUGGCUGUUCCGACAGGGGAGGGAGAAGCAGUAGCGGGAUUUGCAAGAGGAACAGAGGAAGUGGGGAAAUGUCUCUCUCCCCCCUCUUUAUAUCCCACCGGGAAACCCAAGCAACGGCUUCGGUAGGUCGACAUGUGCCCCAUUUCCUUCGCGGUUUCCCACUACGCAGGAUGUGGGCGUGGAGAUCCAGGCAUUAUCAUCAUGAUGCAGCGGUCAAAGCGGAACCGACUGGCCAUCUCCCUAUCUUUGACAGUGAUGACGGGAUGUGACAAAGCGAGUGGCAGUAAUUUGAAGAAGACUUGCCACUGGAGGCCGUGCAGCCAUGAAGCUGCGAAGACGCGACGCCGGAGGCCAUGCGGCCGUGAAGCCGCAAAAUUGCAAAGACGCAGGCCGCGAAGCCGUGAAGGUGAAAGAUGCAAAGCCGCUAGAUCGCGGCACCACAAAAUCAGGAGCUACGAAGCCACAUAGAUGCGUUGCUGGGGGCCGCGCGAUAGCCAAGUACAUAGAUUUCGAGGCCGGGCUACCGAGAGCUAGACUGUCUCCAUCACUGAAAAAGAGCCUGCCUGGAUUACGUUCUCAAGGCAGCAAGACUCCACAACUCCAGACAAGCUCGGCCGCUACUGACGGUACAAUAUACCGAGGGUGGCCCGUCCGCCGGGAAGCUCGAGACUUGCUGGCUUCAGGGCCGAAGAGGCCUAGCGACAUCCUUACCCAGCGAUCAGUCUGUCUAGGCUUGGAGAUAAAAUUUAUCCUUGGCGUGCAAGCCAAGAAGCUCUCACAGUGAGGUUAGUUAGGAUCCCUAUCAACCCUAGCUCUCGUCCCCUUUAUAAGGCGAGGCUAGGGGUAGUUUGAGGCAUCUGUUCCAUUGCUCAGACCUUGGUAGUAUUCAUCAUCCGCCACUUGUAACCCCCUCUCACGAGGUGCUCCCACAUCAAUCCAAAACAAAGCAGGAGUAGGGUAUUACCUCGAUCAUGAGGCCCCGAACCUGGGUAAAAGCCCCGUACGAACUCCCUUUACUUCCGACUACGGUCUGUACCCUAACUGGGUCACUGACGGUUUUCUGCACCAUCACUGGUACUCUGGUAGUGAGUUGGAAUCUGUUUAAAUCGAUUGGUUUGCGAUAUCUCUCUCUAGGUUCGGUCCACUAUAUGUACCCUUGAUCCCCGUGUUGGUCUUCUGCGCCUGUCGGUUUCACGAUAUAUUUAGGAGGUUUGGUCUCGUGGGCAAACCUUUGCUCUUUAACUGAGUCAGGUCAGUGCCUUUUCGGUGGUUUGUUCGAUUCAUUUGUGUUGGCCUCAGUGCGUUGGUUACAGGACUGAAUCUGGUAUGUGGAGAUCAUGUCGAAGGGGGUUUGAGGAAGGUCUGAUUUGAGUUCAUGAGUUCCAUCAUUCAUCAUUUGAUAGGAGGUGGAUUCAGUGUCCUGAUUGAUUCUUAUUGUAGCAGUUGAUCUUGCUUUUGGUAUGUGUGUAUGUUCUCCUUUAGUUGCAGUAGAAGCAGGAGGGUAGUAGUUCUCAGAGAUGAAUCAAAGGCUGGAGAGGUUUGGUUUCUGUUCAUGGCUGAUUUGAUUCGUUACGGUCAACUGUUAUUUUCAUUUGGUCAGAUCUUCUCGAAUGUGGUGUUGAACUACUCAUCAACCUAGAACUUCGUGAUUGUUUGGAUGAUAUAAUCCCUUCUCGAUUCAGCUUCUUCAUUUGCACAGUACUCCCUCUGUAAACUAAUAUAAGAGCGUUAGAAUACUGAAGUAGUGAUCUAAAUGCUCUUAUAUUGUUUACAGAGGGAGUACAAUUUAGUCCAUGAUUAUUCUUACUUGGAUUGUUGGUGGUUCUCCAGAAAUUGGGAUUAUAUUAUUUGCUGCAUGGCCAUCAUCUUUUUUGGUUUGGUUUUGGUGUGGACCAGUUGGUUAUUGGGUGAACAAAUUUCACAAGUAAGGAGUAACAUUUUUCACUCAACCUUGAUAUGAGAAGUGUUAGUUUCAUACUACUGUCCUAUUUGGUUUAGAUAAUUCAGUUCUCUGUUUGUAAAGCGUCCCUAAAGCGCUUAAGCGUCAGAGCCUCCAGGCUUAAGGCGUCCAACUCGCCUUAGGCAGGUGUCUAAGGCGUCCGCCUUAGACAUUAGAGCGUCUGAAGCGCCCGCUUAGACUUUAAGCGGUGUGUGUUCAAAGCUAGUUAAAACUAUGGAACUUAAAUAUACGAAUCAGUUGAUAAAUCUCUUUCAAACCUUACCUGAGAAAAUUGUGAUUUCUGUUUGGUUUAGCCUGUGAACAAAAUUCAGGUUCCUACAAUUUUAAAUUAAUCUAGUUUCUACAUGUGAGCUGUAUUGUUUUCAGGUUUUCUACAUGACUUGUAUUAUUGGUCUUGUUAUUUUUAUGUUGGAAAAGUCUGAGAUUUAGAUUGUUGAUCUGCCUCUCUUUGUCUCGAAAUGUACUGGUGGUCUUUAAUCUGUUUUGCACAAUGCACAGAUGUUGGUGUCCAUAGUGCUUACUACAUGAACAUGAUAUUUGGAGUCUUACUUUAGUGGAGUGCUAAUCUGAUCAUGCUUGGAAAGGGGAUAUCAUGAUAGGUUUUGUUAGCCUGGGGCUUGUCUGAAACUGUUGUAGUCCUGUAAAUACAAAAGUAAAAAGUGUUGAAUGGGAACAGUAGUAGGUGUCAUUGUCAUCUGGAUUUAUCAGUCUGUAGUGUACACCUGGUAAAAGAUGGUCUGAACUCUGAAGCUAGUAGAAACUACUGGUUCCACAUUUCUUUUCUUGAUUCAGAUAAUUCAGUUCGUUCAUUUCGUAACAUUUUGCCGCUAGUACAAACUACUGAACGUACGCCAUUGCUGCCACGCCCGUGCCGCCCCGCCUCUUCCGACUCCGGCGGCAGGUCGGCGGCAACCGGCGGAGGUCUGACCACGACAGUAACAACGAUGGAAACUGCACAAUCUCAGAAUGUAAGUCCUGUCUCUCGACUCCCCUCCCGAAAUUUGGCAUGUUACUUUCUUGAUCAUGGAUUCAUGGUGCUGAUAUCCUGAUACAGAGAAGCUCAACAGCAAAUAUGGUCAAUGGGUAAUAAGCCUUGUUUUUUGGCUUGCUGUUGGCUGCAGCAGCACAUGCGAUGAGCUUAUUCAGCACGUGAACUUUGAAUCAAUAAGGCUGAUUGGAGUUGAAAUGAAUUUGAAUCAGGAAUAGGAUAUAGUGUAGGCUUAGCCUUGGACCAUAUAUGCACGCAGCUAGUGCAUUUCUACACGUAGUCCUAACUGUUAUUAACCUGUACAGUCCUAACUCCAAUAUAUACUUGGAUUCUGUAGAGCAACGGUAACUCGUCUCCUACUAAUUCUGCUCCCGUAACAACGCUUCGCUGUAAUUAUGCAUAUCAAGUGCUCCACAUGCAUAGUAUUCUGGAUGGUAGUAUAUUUCCGGGACCUUUUUCCCCGAUUUAUAAUGAUCUAAAAUGGUGUGCAUAUUAGGUUUUUAAAUGGACGAAAUGGAAUUCUUUUUGGAUGGAUAUAGCAUGGCCUACCUGAGAAGGAAGUAUUCAUGUGCGACAGAAAAAGCUGCUUUGUUUGUGCCUUUUGGUUUUGUGGGCUCUUUUGCAGUUGCAGGGACAGAGGCACUAAGCAUCUUAGUCUAAAAAUGUAUCUUGUUUGUGCAGUUGCAGGAUAACUAUCUGAACGCAGUGCAGAUUUUAGGUCAAAUAUCACCCGUAUGAUAUAGAUAAUGGCUUCAUUGGAAAAACAUUGUAACCCUGUAUAUGAUCUAUUUUAUAUCCUGCAUGUUCUAAUAUUAACAGUUUUGAGUCGGUGCAGAUUAGUUCAUAAGACGCAGUAUGCAUUAGUGUUAUCUUGGAAGAAUGUGAAAUUGUUAUGCUUUGUACUGCAGGCCCUAGUUGCUGCUCCUUGGAAAAUAACCUUAAUGCUCAAUUGAAGUCCUUAAAGUUACUGGUUGCCAUCUGUAAUGUUAAAGAUAAUAAAUAAAAGUUGGGCGUGCUAUUAGAGCUUCAUCCACUUGGAAAGACAUCUGAAACACAGAGUCUGUCAAAUAGUAUAGCACCUGUUUAAGGCUAGUUGUGCGCAAGGCAUUUUACUUCGGUGAGAUUACAUGGGUUAGAAUCUGGCACAUACAGUUUGCCCUUCUAUCAACUAGCAGCUCUUGCAACACCACACAUUUUGAUCACUGUUUCACGUCUACUUUUACUCCUUUUAAGUUCUGAAAAAAAUCAUGGUUCAAUUAGUUUUAAGUCAGGAAUCUAUGAAACACUUAGACAUUAAUUUAAAGGCUGAUUACGCAAGGCGCUACUCUUUUAAAGACUGGGAGCUGUAUGCAUACUGGAGCACUGCUAACAUGUAUUUUGAUGAUGUUCAUCACUAAACAUUUGACUUUGCAGGCUUGUGGUCAGCUUGACUAGUUUCAAACAAUGGCGGAAUGCUUGGCUUCGAUAUUUGGUACAGAGAAAGGCAGUGUCAACUGUCCAUUUUUUACUUCAAGAUUGGAGCUUGUCAUCAUGGCGAUCGCCUCUCCCGCAUCCAUAACAGGCCAACCAUGAACAUGAUAUGAUUACCCCUGGUCACAUGAUCCUUGGAAAUUAAGCAUCUCUUCGCCUUUAUAUAUACUUGUUUGCAUUAACAUCUUUCCUCUGUACUUCACACACACACGCACACGCACACGCACACGCACACGCACACACACACACACAUGACCUUGAAGGAAUAUUUGGGACGGAGUUUUCUAAGUUUUGCUGCACAGAGGAACAUAUGCCAUUUGUUUAGAAGUACAAGGAAUCAGGAGUAUGCUUGGAAGUGACCUCAAAGGAAUGCUUUGAAAUGAAGUUUGCAAAGUUUGUUGCUCAAAGGAGAGGAGCACUGAUCUUAAGUUCUUAACAAAAUGAUCUGCUAGGGUGCAACACAAUUCUUCUAAGGCAGGUGUGCCUCAAUUUUUCGUAGUGAGCUAAUUUGUUAUAGAAGUGCAUAUGUAAAUCUCGUAUGUCCAUUCUGAAUUUCUUGUUUGAUCUUUAAUGCGAUAUUGGUGCGCUAUGUCAUCUGGUAUACACAGAAAUCUUGGGUACUCUUUGGGCAUUUGAUAGAGAUUUGUACUUGUGACCCUUCUUGUACUUGUAAACUAGCAAAACAAAUUAGCUUUACUUAAAUGUUUUGUCGUA